UAAUUAAUUUAUAUUUAUAUUUGUUUAUGCAAACACAUAUAAUAAUUCCGCUGGUGUUUAUUUCUAAUUUGAUGUUAGAAGAAACCAAAUUUUGGAUAUUGCUUUUUAUUCCAACAAAUUUAAGCGAUUUUAUGUUUUUUGGGUAUGAUUAACAUGAAUCAUCAGGGUUGCGGUGUAUAUGCUGUUUACAUAUACGAGGGUUGGUCAGCAGUUAAACGGUGAUAAUGAUGAUACAAAACAGUGGGGGAGGAAUUGAUAAGCGUGUGUGUAAAUAGGAAGAAGAGAAAAAAGUUAUUGCGUGUUAGAUCAUGGUAUGGUGUUUGUGUGUUUAGAGAUAUAGAAUUAAAGGUAAUGUGUGAAUUAGGGGCAAUGUGGGGAUAUUGAAAAAAGUGUUUAAAUUACUUAAAAUAGAGUUUCAAUAUGUUAUUAAGAGAUUAUAGAUAUAGAUAUUGAGUCAACACGACAUGUAUAUAAAUAUUUAGUGACUUGGUCAGAUUUCCUUUUCAGUGUAUAAUCAUCCUUCAGAAACCCCGGAAUUACACGGUGUUCCCUUAAAAGAUGAGGAGCAGAAAAGUUGGUUGGAGUUUAAACAAAUUGAUGAGGGGACUCGUCCUCUUGUCGACCUAACUAAAGUGCUAGCUGAGCAACAUAAAAGGUCUAUUCAGCUCGAUCAUCCCUUUGCUCGUGUGGUUGGUGACUUUGCCGUUGCUGCUUUUAACAACGUUUGUCAGAUGCAUGUUAAAACGAGUGAACACAACAACCUUCAUGAUAUUGAGAUGUUGGAGUGCAAAUACCUCAAACUUACCAAGGCUUAUUUCUUCUAACUGACCAUAGAGGCCAUUGAAGAAGGGGACCUUGGUGUCUACGAAGCCAAAGUUGUAUGCAAGAGUGAUUAUGGAAAGAAAACCUUGACCAAGUUUGUCCUUACCAACCGCACACCAGUUGGUAAGAAAGCCAUGGCAAUAUCUCGCUUGUCUCGCCUGAAAUUAAUCCCCAGAAUUUUGAAAGGUAAUAAAGCAAUGUCAAUAUCUCACUUGUCUCGCUUGACGUCUAUAUAUGAAACUUUGAGAGGUCUUAAAAAUGACAUAAAGGUCCACUUGAAAACUUCACCCAAAUAUAUGAAAGGUAAGACGAAAGACAUGAAAACAGCUGAGUUGAUUCGCUUGAAAACGUACAGCAAGAAUGCUGUAAAAGGUUAGUACAUACAUGUUUUACUCUUAAGAGCCACACUGUCUUGUUUACUCAACAGGGCUUCGCAAAGUGCUACCUCAGGGCAUACUGUCACUCUUUCCACCAGCUUGCAGUCGAACAACUAAUCGAGAUUAACUGAAGCUUACUUUGCAUCAGAUUUAUGGUCUAGUUUUAUAUAUGGAUACUGAAUGGGCUGAUUUUGGUCACUCUUCAUCUCAAGCAUUAGUUGGACUGGGUAGUGCAAAAGCGCCAACCAAAAUUGUAGCUUUUUAAAAUAGAUGGCUGGACUAAUCCAGGCAAAUAUACCGGGAUGGUGCGUAGGACGAACGGAACCACUUGUGUGGGUUACGACUACUAUAACCUAUUAAAAGCAUUUGGACCUUCCUUGAUUUGGUGAUUGACAUGGUGUGGGUGUGGGUCGAACAAAUUGGUAGUCAUAGGAUGUGAAUAGAGCAAUAUUUUUGGUGAUCACAUAUGAUGGCCCCAUUAUGUGUAGUAUGCAAACUUUACGGGUAGUUAAUGCACGACACAAAGUAGGAUCACAUGCAGAUUGGUUGGUCGUUAGAGUUGAUUAAAGUUUUUUUCUGCCAAAACAUCUAAUUUUUGGAGCUUGUUAGGAGGCUAAGAUAUGUAGUGGUGAGGUAAAUGACUAUUAGUCUAUUAUGAUCAAUUAGUUAUUCUGCGCCGUUUAUUCUGUGCUACCUAUCGGUUUAAUGAAUUACUCCUACUCUGACCAGUUAACUCUAAA